rnacentral:piRNA from 1 species
UGGCCACACUGCUGGCUUCGCCAGUU